UGAAAGAACAUAUCUGGGAUGAUAUGAUGC
rnacentral:piRNA from 1 species